GACUGCAUUAUUUGUACGUUAGCGACAGAAGAAGCACCGGCUAACUCCGUGCCAGCAGCCGCGGUAAUACGGAGGGUGCGAGCGUUAAUCGGAAUUACUGGGCGUAAAGCGCAUGCAGGUGGUUUGUUAAGUUCAGAUGUGAAAGACCCGGGGCGUCAACCUCGGAAUAGCAUUUGAAACUAGGCAGACUAGAGUACUGUAGAGGGGGGUAGGAAUUUCAGGUGUAGCGGUGAAAUGCGUAGAGAUCUGAAGGAAUACCGGUGGCGAAGGCGGCCCCCUCGGACAGAUACUGACACUCAGAUGCGAAAGCGUGGGGAGCAAACAGGAUUAGAUACCCUGGUAG
rnacentral:rRNA from 1 species